rnacentral:rRNA from 1 species
UACGGAGGAUGCGAGCGUUAUCCGGAUUUAUUGGGUUUAAAGGGUGCGUAGGCGGUUUGAUAAGUUAGAGGUGAAAUGUCGGGGCUCAACCCCGAAACUGCCUCUAAUACUGUUGGACUAGAGAAUAGUUGCGGUAGGCGGAAUGUAUGGUGUAGCGGUGAAAUGCUUAGAUAUUACUCAGAACACCGAUUGCGCAGGCAGCUUGCUAAUCCGCAUCUGACGCUGAUGCACGAAAGCGUGGGUAGCGAACAGG